AUUGAACGCUGGCGGCAGGCCUAACACAUGCAAGUCGAGCGGAUGAAGGGAGCUUGCUCCUGGAUUCAGCGGCGGACGGGUUAGUAAUGCCUAGGAAUCUGCCUGGUAGUGGGGGAUAACGUCCGGAAACGGGCGCUAAUACCGCAUACGUCCUGAGGGAGAAAGUGGGGGAUCUUCGGACCUCACGCUAUCAGAUGAGCCUAGGUCGGAUUAGCUAGUUGGUGGGGUAAAGGCCUACCAAGGCGACGAUCCGUAACUGGUCUGAGAGGAUGAUCAGUCACACUGGAACUGAGACACGGUCCAGACUCCUACGGGAGGCAGCAGUGGGGAAUAUUGGACAAUGGGCGAAAGCCUGAUCCAGCCAUGCCGCGUGUGUGAAGAAGGUCUUCGGAUUGUAAAGCACUUUAAGUUGGGAGGAAGGGCAGUAAGUUAAUACCUUGCUGUUCUGACGUUACCAACAGAAUAAGCACCGGCUAACUUCGUG
rnacentral:rRNA from 1 species